CAGUCAUGAUCCAGUGAUCAGAAUGUUCCAUUGUCUUUUCAUUGUUUUGAAAAUCUCACUGUUCUCCAUGCCAUCCAGUCACGAUCCAGUGAUCAGAAUGUUCCAUUGUCUUUUCAUUGUUUUGAAAAUUUCACUGUUCUCCAUGCCAUCCAGUCAUGAUCCGGUGAUCAGAAUGUUCCAUUGUCUUUUCAUUGUUUUGAAAAUCUCACUGUUCUCCAUGCCAUCCAGUCACGAUCCAGUGAUCAGAAUGUUCCAUUGUCUUUUCAUUGUUUUGAAAAUUCCACUGUUCUCCAUGCCAUCCAGUCAUGAUCCGGUGAUCAGAAUGUUCCAUUGUCUUUUCAUUGUUUUGAAAAUCUCACUGUUCUCCAUGUCAUCCAGUCAUGAUCCAGUGAUCAGAAUGUUCCAUUGUCUUUUCAUUGUUUUGAAAAUCUCACUGUUCUCCAUGUCAUCCAGUCAUGAUCCAGUGAUCAGAAUGUUCCAUUGUCUUUCAAUUGUUUUGAAAAUCUUACUGUUCUUCAUGCCAUCCAGUCACG